CUUUCUCCUCAUGCUCCUCAUCAGGGUCCUGAAAUGUUGUCCCACAACCGGGAUGAGACUAUGUCUCAGCAAAUUCUACCCCACUAAGACUCGAUUAGGAAACCAAUACACUAACCGGGCUGCCUAUACACGCACGGGUCAGAGCACUUACCUUGGCCUCAUAUUCCACCUGCAUAUUAGCACAAUUCAAUAGACACCCAAGCAAUUCCACCUGGAUUGGGAUUUGGUGGAGUGGCUUCGUGGAGAUGGGCGGCUUCGUGUGGGGCUAGGAGGUCAACAAACUGAAAUCAGCUUCGGUGGAGACGCUGAAGACGCGAGCUGGCAGAGGGCGCUCGUGAGUGGGCUUGGAACAGUUUUGUUUAUCAGUCUGCUAUAGAGAAAACACAUGCUGGUGGGGGUGCGGGGAUUAAUGGAGCGAUGGCAGGAGAUGUCAUGGACGAUGGCCUCGGUGGAAGGAGCAGGGGCGAUUGCUGGGUUUCUUCGAAGAUCAAAACAGAAGUGGAAUGGAGGAUGGAGGUGGACGGUGGAGUGAGAGUAAGGGAGAGAAGAGAUAGAGAUGAGGAGGGAUAGAGGGCCCCUUGGGUUUUAUUUUUCCACAAAAUAUCUCCAAGACUUAGUCUUGGCCAUGUAUAAUCCCUUGGCCUCCAUUGAGCCACACCAACACUUCUCACAACCCCUCAAAUGGUGCAUUUUGGCUAGGCAUGAGGGGGGUUACGAAAUUGGCAUCAUCUCCUCUCAAUUGGACACUUGAAUAAUCUCAAAUCAUACUCAUUUGGCUUCUAUAAUUUCAAUUGGUCAUCCUUCGAUUACCCCGGCAUUUUUCCUCACCCACAUAUCCAUCAUGCUUUCAAAUUGUCAUCAAAAACAACCUGCGGCUUUUUCUGCACAAAACAACCCGGCUGCGACUUCUUCCUAGAAAGUGUCAGGUGUCAAAAAAAUCUUUUGACACUGAGUCGACACUCCUAUAAUUUAUUGUGACAUGAUAGAAUCUUCAAUUUCUGAAAUCGGACUCGAAUUCGGAGUUAAUUUCCAUUCAACGCGUUUUUAGCGUAACCUAGACUAUCAGGUAACUUUUAGAAAUUUUUAAUACAUAUGACCCGUGGUCGAUUUUCUUUGAGCCACUAUGAACCCACUCGACUCAUUGGCGACUCUCGAUUGUCGUGAAAAUCCUGAUGAUCCAAAUAUGGACACAAGGUACCAAAACAAUAAGAAAAUCAGUUUAGUGUUGGUCAACGAGAAUUUUCUAAUUUAGUGGUGUUACCCACGAUUAGCCACACAUCUCAGUCGAACCAACCUAUCUCUAAUCUCGAAUUGAUUUAUAUCUGUGCCGUAAUGACCUCACUAUCGAGAAAUCGAUUCCUAGUCAAAUUAUCAAGUCUAUUGCAUUAAAAUUCCUUAAUGGCUUCCCCAGAUAGUCCAGUUACCUCGAGAGUGAUCAGCUCUGAGAACAACUCUAUUGACGCGUCAAUGAAAUGCCCGAUUUAUUCAAUAGAAAACAUGACUGAAAAUCUGAGAUGUCACGACUCUUCCCCUCUUAUAAAAAUUUCGUCCUCGAAAUUUAAACUGUUACCAAUCCUUCAACAAAAAAGUGGGGGUAUCAUCACCUCAUCUAGUCUCACUUUUCCCGAUUGCUUCUUCAAUCCCGUGGCGUUGUCAGACCACUUUAACCAAGGGGACUAUCUUGGUACACAGAAUCUGAUCUUUCUGAUCCAUAAGCUGAACCGAAAUUUUCAUGUACGACACUCUGUCGUCCAUGCCUAAUUCUUCAAGAUUUAACAUGUGGGUCAUGUCAGGCUCAUAUUUCCUCAACAUCGACACGUGAAAGACGUCAUGCACUUGCGCUAACCUCGGCGGCAAUGCAGGACGAUACAAUAGGAUCCCGAUUCUUUUCAGAAUCUCAAAAGGGACCUACGUACUUUGAUUUCAGUUUUCCCUCCUAGCUGAAAUGCAAGGUAUCCAUCAUUGGUGACACCUUCAGAAAGGUGUACUGACCAAUUUAGAACUUUUUGGGCCUUCAAUGCUCAACAAUGCAACUUUUCUGGCGGCACUGAGCGGUCUAUAAUCUGAUUCUAAUCACGACAACUGCAAUCACUGACUGCUGAAUUGACCCUCGGCCUGUGAUCUUUCUUUCUCUGAUCUCAUCUCAACAAACUGAAGUUCUGCAUACUUUGCUCUGUUCUGCCUCAAAAGGAAUUAUCUGAUUGAUCUGCUGAAACUGGGAACCUGGGUUCUGGAUCCAAUAUAAGUUUGUCACUAGUACUCCACGCAAACGAACUGUUUGACACACAUACACUUCGACAUGCCUAUUCCAAUCAAUAUCCUUCCAUACGGCGAUAAAGUGGGCCAACUUCAUCGAUCUGUCAACCACUACCCCAACUGGAGUCAUUAUUCCUAUGACCUCUUGGUAAACCUAUCACAACAUUCCAUCAUGAUGUACUUCAAUUCCCACUCAGGACUCUUGAGUGAUUGUAAAUGUUCUCUCGACUUGCAUUACCGAACUUUCACUUACUAGCACAUUUGACACUUGCAACUUGUACGACGAUAACUAUCUUCAUAUCGGUCUACCUACCUCAUACUGUAUGGUCGAAUACUGCAACUAUUAUAAUGAAUUCCUGACAAGGUCUUCUCCUCAAGUUUCGUACCAUUUGACACUUAUCAUCACUUACGAUACCUCAACGUUCCAUUUUCCGAAAUCUUAACGUCAACUUUUCCCUUACCGGUAUCUUCUUGCAGGAUUUUCUAAACAUUCUGGUUUGUCAACUGAAGCGUCUUUCCAGGGUGAUAGAGGACAUCUCAAUCACCGUUCUUCUAAAGUUCUAACUCAUAACGCUAUCUUCGUUAUAACUUCCUUCAACGGAUUAAACUAUAUCACAUUGCAGUAACAAUUUAUUACACAAAAGCUCCUCGAGCCAAACCUUUUUAUACAUGGUAUCAAAGUUAUACAUAGGCAAAGGAUUCAAGUACAACUGUAACCAGUGAUUAUGCUUUAUAUGACUUCAUUACAAAAAUUGAAGUUUUAUAAACUUAACCAAAAUUCUGCUGCGCCACUCUGAUAUAAUUGUUAUGGGAACAUUGCCCUUUUGCUCAGUGCACAACUCGAUUCAUCUCUGAACCGGCGGUCCAUUCAACGGAACCGUAUCUGUGAUUACAUCAGGCUUAGCUUCGGCCUGACCCUGUAUAAUUGCAUACACGGUGCCUUGGACUGGAGGCCUCAACUAUUCUCCCUGCGGCGCAUUCUGAGGGGCAUACCCUCUGAUCUAGCCCAUUUGCGGCAGUGGUGGCAACUGUUGCGGUCUCCCCUGUCUUCUGGGCCAGUCCCUGGCUAUGUGACCCAGCUGGCCACACCCAAAACAAGUACCCGGUCUAGAAUGGCAUGGGGCGAAUCUGUGUUGCCUUCCACACAGGCAACACACACCAUUCUCGCUAGACCCUGUCUUUCCGAUUCCACCCUCCCUGUUGGGCGGAACGCGGAAUCUGUUUCCAGGCAUAGGCCUCUUUCCUUGGCGGAUGUUGUCUCUAUGAGAACUGAACCUUGAUCUAGACAAGGCGGCUCUAUCAUUUUGAUCCUUCUCAAUUUUCUGAGCUCUCCGAUACAGAUCAUUGUAAGUCUUCAAAUCCAGAAGGACUAAGGCACUCCUCAUGUUCGGUUUGAAUCCAUCUCUGAACCUUCUCGCUCGGUUCACAGGGUUCUCGAUUAACUCGGGAGCAUAUCGUGAAAGUUCAGCGAACUUCGCCUCAUAUUCAUCAACAGUUAGGGAACCCUGGCGAAGACGUUGGAAUUAUGCCAUCUUCACCUCUCUAGCAGUCUCGGAUAAAUAUUUGUCAUUGAAGGCUUCACGGAAAGUGUUCCACUCUUGAACAGCGCCUUCUGGAAAGAUCGUUUCACGGGUAGUCAUCCACCAAGUGUCCGCAACUCCCUCCAGCUGGUAAGUUGCUAACAUUACCUUCUCAGCCUCGUUGCAUAUCAACAGUGCAAACGCCUUCUCGAGCUUCUGAAUCCAUGAAGAAGUAGCUUCGAGAUCUCUAGACUCGGUGAACAACGGUGGAUUUAGUCUUAGGAAAUGCUCCACUAGCUUAUAGAUUGGUCUUGCAGCAACCACUAUCCUCAGUGGACCUUCAACAUUCACGGCGGCUUGAGCAACGGUAGGUGCGACUACAGGGGUGGCUCCAGUGGCAGCGGCAGGUGCAGCAGCCUGAGCAGCGGCUUCAACAGUAGCGUCUUGCUGAUCUAACCUUGUACCCAUUGCUUCCAAUACACGCAUGAUCCCAUAAAAUCUGGGAUCACUAGGGGUUUCUACCCCAGCACCAACAGGAGGUGGUGCUUCGCCACUAGCGCUAGCCACAGCUGGCGCUUUACCACGACCCCCUCGGGCACCGACCCUGGUCGGCGUUCUGCCUCGAGUCACGAUCCUAUCGGCCCUCUUUUCAGGAGUUCUCGGCUCCUAGUCACUCAUGGCUCAGCUUUAUCUACUAGAGCCAGCUUCCAAUUCCACCACGAAUUAGAAACAAAGUGACCCAAACAAGCAGCAAUUCUAGCAUUCAGCUACCACAGACAUGCACUAGCAUGAAUUUAAAAGCCUUUCUUACUACUAUCCUAUGACCCAUUGCUCCUUAUCACUCCAAUCUUGAACUUCACUUUGAUACCACAAAAAGGGGAUGUCACGCCCCGAACCUCGGGCAUGCACACAUCCUUCUACUUGGUCGAUUUUAUAAUGACAUAUCCUAGGACUAAGUAUCGCCAACCCUUUCAUUUAUUAAGCACAUGCGGAAGCAGUUAUAAAUCCCCAAACAAUAAAACAAUGAGAUAGAAAAGUAAGGUCAUAUUUCUCAUAUUGAAAUCCUUGACCAAACCUUUAUACAUGGCAUAACUCAAAGUCUAUUCAUUAAACAUGAUUCAGAAAAGAUGAUAGGAUCUCAGUCUCAUCCAGGUCGUACUCGGAUCAUCAUUGGGGUUCUCCUCCAGGUACUCCUCUUCGGUUUCUUUCUCCUCAGGCUCCUCAUCAGGGUCCUGAAAUGUUGUCCCACAACCGGGAUGAGACUAUGUCUCAGUAAGUUCUACCUCACUAAGACUCGAUUAGGAAACCGAUACACUAACCGGGCUACCUAUGCAUGCACAGGUCAGAGGACUUACCUUGGCCUCAGAUUCCACCUGCAUAUUAGCACAGUUCAAUAGACACCCAAGCAAUUAUAUCACAAAUCGAUAUCUCGAUCAAUCAACUUAGUUGAUUACAUGUAAAUAAGACCAUUCUCUGGUCGUUUCCCUUAUUCAGUCUCAAAUCUUACUCACGACUUCACGAGCACAGCCUACCAAAUUUCUUGGCAACAAAUUACAGUCUGAAGGACACGACCUAUCUUUAAGUGGCAAAUUACAGCCCAAUGGGCGCGACCUUUAAUAGGUGGCAGAUUACGGCCUUCUCAAGUGCGACCCCUAUCGAGUGGCAAAUUACGGCCUUAUUAGUCGCGACCUUUACUAGGUGGCAAUUUACGGCCCAACGGGCAUGACUGACUCCAAAUUCGGUGGCAAAUCUCGGCCCAACUGGCAUAGCCAUACUUCAGCGACUUCCGAGGUUCAACUCACAACCUCUCACAGUCAAAUUCUAAUUGAAUACCGACACUGAUUAAUCUUGGGAUAGAUCCCCACAUACUCAUCAACUCACUCAAUUUUCACACAAUAUUAACAUACCUGAUGGAUCUUAGCCAAGAAUAUAUUCAAAUCACUCUCCCAAACUUCUCCACUUAACAACCCAUCAAAGCAUUAUUGACGCUAAACAAUCAUACUCGGCCAUCCACAACUCAAUUACUCAAUCUCAAUUAAUUUAGGAAAAAUUCCUCAAAUUGCAUAAUCAAUUCAAUUCAACACAAUGUAGAGCUCAAAUAAAUAAAUGGACUGCACCACGACAACCAGCACGAAAUUCUGGUCACCGGCCAUCCCAGUUGAAUUUGCGGAAAAAUAAAUAAUUAAAUAAUGAAUUUUUGAAAUUCAUUAUUAAUUAGCAAUAAAUCCAAUUUAGGCCUGUAAUGCCUGAUUGGAGCCCGAAACGGAUUGGGAAAAAUCCCGAGAUGCAUUCAAUAAAUAAUAGUACGUCUCUACUUGCUAAUGACUAGGUCUAACCACCUAACAUGUAUCAUUAAGUCACUAAUUUAAUUGUUCUAAACUAAUCUAACCACCUAAUUACACUUAAUUAAAUCUAAUCAACCCUUAAGCAUCAUUAGUCUACUAAGAAAGGAUUAAUGAGAUUACUCACUUGAUUAAAAGCGGGGACCGGGACACCGCGACGGCGACACGACGGCGGCCGAAAUCCGAACUUUCGACGGCGUCGAUGGACACUCGGGCCGGACCUACAAGCCACACAAGCCCACAGAAAUUUCUGGGCUUGGGCUUGGCUUCGCGGGCUUCUAAUUUUGUUGGGCUUCGCUGAGAUGGGCUG
rnacentral:lncRNA from 1 species